rnacentral:tRNA from 1 species
GGUCGUGUAGUGUAGUGGUUAUCACAUUUGCUUCUGAUCCAGAUAACUUCAGUUCGAGUCUGAGCACGACCU